CCUACGGUGAGCAGCAGUGAGGAAUAUUGGUCAAUGGGCGGAAGCCUGAACCAGCCAAGUAGCGUGCAGGAUGACGGCCCCUCGGGUUGUAAACUGCUUUUAUACGGGAAUAACGCGCCUUACGUGUAGGGCUUUGCAUGUACCGUAUGAAUAAGGACCGGCUAAUUCCGUGCCAGCAGCCGCGGUAAUACGGAAGGUCCGGUCGUUAUCCGGAUUUAUUGGGUUUAAAGGGAGCGUAGGCCGCAUGUCAAGCGUGCUGUGAAAUGUCCGGGCUCAACCCGGGCCUUGCAGCGCGAACUGGCGUGCUUGAGUCCGCGGAAAGCGAGCGGAAUUCGUCGUGUAGCGGGGAAAUGCUUAGAUAUGACGAAGAACCCCGAUUGCGAAGGCAGCUUGCUGCAGCGGAACUGACGCUGAUGCUCGAAAGCGCGGGUAUCGAACAGGAUUAGAUACCCCAGUAGUC
rnacentral:rRNA from 1 species